CCUACGGGGGGCAGCAGUGAGGAAUAUUGGUCAAUGGGCGGAAGCCUGAACCAGCCAAGUCGCGUGCAGGAUGACGGCCCUACGGGCUGUAAACUGCUUCUAUACGGGAAUAACGCGCCUUACGUGUAGAGCUUUGCAUGUACCGUAUGUGUAAGGACCGGCUAAUUCCGUGCCAGCAGCCGCGGUAAGAUGGAAGGUCCGGGCGUUACGCGGAUUGGAUGGGUUUAACGUGAGCGUAGGCUGUAUGGCAAGCGUGCGGUGAAAUGUCCGGGCUCAACUCGGGCAUUGCAUCGCAAACUGGCGUGCUGGAGUCCGCGGAAAGCAGGCGGAAUU
rnacentral:rRNA from 1 species